UACGAAGGGGGCUAGCGUUGUUCGGAAUUACUGGGCGUAAAGGGCGCGUAGGCGGUACUUCAAGUCAGGCGUGAAAGCCCCGGGCUCAACCUGGGAACCGCGCUUGAGACUGGAGAACUAGAGUUCGGGAGAGGAUGGUGGAAUUCCCAGUGUAGAGGUGAAAUUCGUAGAUAUUGGGAAGAACACCGAUGGCGAAGGCAGCCAUCUGGACCGACACUGACGCUGAGGCGCGAAAGCGUGGGGAGCGAACAGG
rnacentral:rRNA from 1 species